rnacentral:tRNA from 3 species
GCGCCCGUAGCUCAGUGGAUAGAGCACCAGACUCCGGAUCUGGGUGCGGGGGUUCGAUUCCCUCUGGGCGCACCA